rnacentral:lncRNA from 1 species
CCAGGCCAGGGGUCGAAUCUGAGUUACAACUGCUGGCCUACACCACAGCCACAGCAAUGCCAGAUCUGAGCCACAUCUGUGACCUACACCACAGCUCAUAGCAAUGCUGGAUCCCUGACCCACUGAGUGAGGGCAGGGAUCAAACCUGCAUCUCAUGGAUACUAGUCGGAUUCAUUUCUGCUGCACCACAAUGGGAACUCCCAGAAAUCACUCCUGAAAAGCUGAAUCAUUGAACUACAGUGAAAGUUCCUCACCUAAGACAUCUGGGGGGAACAAGUCUUACUUUUGCUGAUCUACACACAUCAGGAAACAGGGCAUGUCUCCUAAAAUCCCACUCUUCCCAGAUACGCAUUCACAUCCAAACUGCUUCUGGGCACUCUCUCCAAAGAGCUGCCAUGAAAAGCCUAAAGAUUUAUAGCACACCUACACAUUAUCUAAACAUACCCCCCCCAUGCACACAGAUAGAUGCACACAUAUAAAAAUACUCCCUGUGAUGCCCUGUCACCCCCAGAGCCACCUCCCACUCUGUUCCCUAUUAGCCACUGCUAUGUGGAUUCUUGUAGUCAAAAAGGAGCAGCAGGAAGGAGCAGGCUCCGCCUGUCACCCUGAGACUUGAGAACAGAGCUGGAGGGUUCUGUGGGCAAGAUGAGGGCUUUACUGGCCUCUGACCUCACCCUGUCUGCCUGAUGGGGUAAGAGCAGGAUGCUGAAGAACAAGGGGCUUCUAUGGCGGCCAGACGUGGUUUCUCAGGCAGUAGCUGUGUUGUAACGGGUCCAAUCUGACUAUCAUUUGGUUGCUGGGAUGGGAGGAAGAUCAGUCCUCUGGCAAGUCUGUACGUGACUGCACUCGCGGUGGGGGGGACGUAGGCCUGUGCCGAUGACAGGUGUGGAUGGAGGGAGCGUGAGGAGCAGGCCUGCAGCUGGGUGCGGGCUCGUGGGAGUGCUGCUGGCCUCAGUCCCCCUAAGCAGCCCAGGGCGAAGGGGCACAGGGGCCCAUCUCUGGUCAUCCUUGACAGAGAAGUGACCUCAAUUCUCAAAACUGGCCAAGGUUCAAACAGGAAGACCGCUUGUCUCGGUGCAAAGGGGAAUCCUGUACCCUGAUGCACCCUGGAGGCUCCUGCGGUCGGAAAGGAAAGCACAAAAGAGCAGAGUUGGGGCCACGAGCAGGAGAAGGAGGCUUGCCGGGGACAGGGCUCACCCCGACUGAGAGGGAAGAUGAAACCCCGCAUCUACGUCAGCGCCAGAUGGCCUGAGCCCCAGACUCUGGGCUCAUCGUCACUCAUGGGGCCGUCACCUUGGGUCCAGGGAGCUUGCUUUCAGAAGCAGCCACGGUGGCGGCAAAAUGAUGCAAAGAUGACCCUCAUUUCCUGGAGAGGAGCCUGCUGUUGUCUCUCUGAGGCUUAGCCACUGGGAGGCCGUGGAAACAAUCCCAUCACCCUAGCAACCAGGCCCCGCCAGGGCGCUCCGUGCCGGUGGCAACCUGCUCCCAGACUUAAGACAGGAGCUUCAGUUUGCACCUGCUCCUGCACAUCAGGUGGGCUGGCUGCCUGUGACGCACUUGCUGAGACACAGGUGAACGUCAGGGGCCCAGGCUUCCAGGGACGGCAACGUACGGGAAGGGCAACUGGGUUCAUGGUAACUGGGGCUCGGCUGGAAGGGUCCCCUGGAGCUGGAGUGGGGCUCCUGCCUUGAUCAAGCACCCUAGUUUGGAAGGAAGAAAUGAGAAACGAGAACUACUUCCUGUUCGGCUACCCUCACCAGCCACUUCCCCUCGCCCUCGGCCAGGGCAAUGCCAGGGUCUGCUCGGGAAAUUUCUAACUUCUUGUGUUCCCUCGGCUGGGACCCUACUGACAAUACAGAUGAGCAUCCAGAUGGCUCUGGGCGAGGGCCCAGGAGAGAGCAAGCCUGCGGACUCUCGGGGCUGACUGCAGGGUGUGGUUUUAUUGCUGGGAGAUGCCUGGUUUCAGAGAACAGUCUGUCCGUCCCACCCCAGUGAUGCUGGAGUUCCUCCAGGCCUUCGGAGGAAGCUUCCUUUCCCCUGCCUCGCCCCCAGCACCGGUCUCACCAACUGAAGCGUCAGGAUUAUUCUCAGCAGUCAGCCUACGACAUUUCUGUCACUUCUUUUCCAUAAACCAAGGCCUGGGGUGCAGCAGAGAGCAGUGCUGAUCUGUCUCAGGGGGUCUGUGUUUUAGGCCACAUUCCCUCCCUCAUUAUGUUGGAGUUCCUGUUGUGGCUCAGCAGUAACAAGGCCGACAAGUACCCAUGAGGAUGUGAGUUCGGCCCCUGGCCUCGCUCAGUGGGUUAAGGAUCUGGCGUUGCCCUGAGCUGUGGCGUAGGUUGCAGAUCCUGUGUUGCGGUGGCUGUAGUGUAGGCCGGUGGCUAUAGCUCUGAUUAGACCCCUAGCCUGGGGACUUCGAUAUGCUGUAGGUGUGGCCCUAAAAAGCCCCAAAAUAAAUAAAUAAAUAAAAAUAAAACCCCGGGUUGUGUGAUUCCCCUUCCCUAGGGAGGACUGGAAAAGGGGGAUAUACUCAGCCUUCACAAAGGGCCUCCUGCAGGCACCCUGGCCAUCUCAGUUCCUGUUCCCUUCCUCGGGAUAAGCACUAUGCGUCUGGGCUCUUGGGUCCCCAGCCCAUUUUCCUGAGUCAUGAUUCUAAUGUCUUCCUUUUAAGCAGAGCAGUGAAUUUAGAAGAUCUUCAAUGUCCUUUUUGUUAACUCUUUGGUUCCAGACCUAGAGGCUGGGUUUGAAGCCCUUUUCCUGUCCUAGAAGGGGCAUCAAAGUGCAAAGGUGCAAAGGUUUUGUCACCACAGGGCCCUGAGCUCCAUGACACCAACUCUCUGAAUUUCAGGGUACCCACCUUUAAAAUGGAGACGGUAGUACAAUAUCUGAUAGAGUGGCAGCGAGGACCAAAAGAGGUAAAUGAAAGUAGGGGCCUCCAGAGGGAAAGGUUCACCGCCCCCCUCCCACCCCAGGCUACAAAGAGUGGGUAAGAGACAGCCGGACAAGGGCCCCGGAGGAAGGGGCCUCCAUUCUCAGAGCUGCGCCUUCUAGAUGAUUCAGUCGGCACUGGUCCCAACCCCCUGACGAUGAACUGAAAGGUCUUCUUUGUCUGGGCGCCUCCCGGGCCAGCCCCACGCUAGACCCCGGAGCCCCCAUGGAUGAAACUCUUGCUCAAGAAAUCCCACCCAGGCUCAGUGGUUAAUGAAUCUGAAUAAGAACCAUGACGUUGCGGGUUCGAUCCCUGGCCUUGCUCAGUGGGUUAAGGAUCCGGCGUUGCCGUGAGCUGUGGUGUAGGUCGCAGACACGGCUCGGAUUUUGAGUUGCUGUGGCUCUGGCGUAGGCUGGCAGCAAUAGCUCCGAUUCGACCCCUAGCC